CCAAAAUGUCACCUCCACUCGAGUCUUUGGAUUCUUUCUGAUUUAUAGGUCAAAAGCUAUUUAGUGAACGUUUAUCAAAAAUUAUCUCUAUCUAGUUGCUGAGCAUGAUAUGAAAGGAAAAUAAAAACUUGGGACUCCCAAUUCACUCUGCCAAAAGAAAAAAAUUAAGCUGAAAUCUGAGUCGUACAAGAAGCUGCCUUUCCUUCUGUUCCUAAGCAGAGAGCUACAGGUAAGGAACACUGGAAGAAAGAUACAGAAAUGCAGGGCAGUGCAAUGGCUGUAAUGCACUGUGCACAAGGGAAGGCCUUAUUCCCCCACCUGCUGAAGCAUUGCCAAGAGACAGCCUGGCUCUGUCAGUAUCUUCGAGAAGCACCUCACUGAGGAGUACCAGCCUGUGCUGAGCCCUUGUCUGUGACAGCCCACAUCCAGUGUCUUCUCCAUCAGGGCUUGCCCCACUGGGUCAGCUCCCAGGUCCAUCCCCUAGAACUCACUCUUCCCAGCCCUGCUCCUUCUCUUCUUUGCACAGAUUUGAUCCUGGGAGCACUCCCUAUUCAACUUCUGCAAGCUAACCUGGAUCUCAGAGUCUGCUCCCAGAGAAUUCAUCCUGUACAAGUUGAAAAAAAACUGGCCAUGAAUGGAUAAUUCUUAAAGCUGAGUGUGAUAGGUAGAAUUCAGAGAUGGUCCCCAAGGUCCCCACCUCUGAUAUAAACACCCUGUAUCAUCCCCAGUACUGUCUGGCAAUAGAUUUUACUCCUGUAACUAGGUUCUAUGGCACAGUUGACCUCUAGCCGGGGAGAGUAUUCUGGUGGGCCUGACCUAAAUCACAUGAGUCCUCCAAAAGCAGAGUUUCCUCUGGCUCCUCCCAGAUGCAAUUCAAAGCACAGGGAUUCAACAGACCACUGAUGGCUUUAGGAUGGAGGGAGCCACAGCACAUGGAUGCGAGUGGCUAGUAGCAGCUGGGGCAGCCACUGUGGGCAGUCAGCAUGGAAACAGGGUCCUAGGUCCUACAGCCACAAGGAAUGGAAGUCUGCCAACAGGAGCAGACUUCAAGGAGAAUUCUCCCGCCAGAGCCUUCAGAUGAGAACACAGCCCAGCCAACACCUUGACUUCAACCUUACGAUAUGCUGAGCAGAAAGCCUAGCCAUGCUGGACUUCCGACCACAGGGUGUGAGCUAAUCCAUGGAUAUUGUUCUAAGCUGCUAAGUUUGUAGGAAUUUGUUGCACAGCAACAGAAACCUAAUGUACUAGGUGACAGGCACAGGGAGGUUCAUAACCCUAGUCUCUCUAUUUUUGUACAAGUCUGAAAUUUUCCAUAGUGAAGAAAACCAAAAUAUUUCACCCCAAAAUAUAUUUCCUUGACAUAGUUCAAGAUGGUGAUUCAGAAGGGCUAGAAAUACAAGAGUAACUAAAACGCUGUCUUUUGUCAGGGAGAUUUGCAUCUGUCGAGAAAAUCUGCACUGAUGCAACCAGGCUUCCUCUCAGGCCCUCCCUUGUCCUAUCCAGGAAAGAUUAACUGAGAGUCAGACAUCUUUAAAAGUCUGAAAAGCAUUCAUCAUCUAUUCUCUCUGAGCACUGCUAUCUGUAAAGUUUCUAACAAGACCACCUUUGCUAACCAGACCUCCUCUUCUCCCCCUCCCAUACCUGUUUUGCCAUGAUUCAAGUCCCCAUUCUGUCUGUCCACUCAGGAAGGCGUGGAAGCUACUGAGCCCCACUGGGGAGUUGGGGUCAUCGCUCUGGGGUUCUCCUGUGUGCAUGUUAAUACAUUUGAAUGCCUUCUAUCCUUCUAA